rnacentral:tRNA from 1 species
GGAGGGGUGGCGGAGUGGUCUAACGCGCUUGUCUUGAAAACAAGAGUGUCGCAAGGCACCGUGAGUUCGAAUCUCACCCCCUCCG